AUUGAACGCUGGCGGAAUGCUUUACACAUGCAAGUCGAACGGCAGCACGGACUUCGGUCUGGUGGCGAGUGGCGAACGGGUGAGUAAUGUAUCGGAACGUGCCCAGUCGUGGGGGAUAACGUAGUGAAAAUUACGCUAAUACCGCAUACGAUCUAUGGAUGAAAGCGGGGGAUCGCAAGACCUCGCGCGAUUGGAGCGGCCGAUAUCAGAUUAGGUAGUUGGUGGGGUAAAGGCCCACCAAGCCAACGAUCUGUAGCUGGUCUGAGAGGACGACCAGCCACACUGGAACAGAGACACGGUCCAGACUCCUACGGGAGGCAGCAGUGGGGAAUUUUGGACAAUGGACGAAAGCCUGAUCCAGCCAUUCCGCGUGCAGGAUGAAGGCCCUCGGGUUGUAAACUGCUUUUGUACAGAACGAAAAGGUUUCUACUAAUACUAGGAGCUCAUGACGGUACUGUAAGAAUAAGCACCGGCUAACUACGUGCCAGCCGCCGCUGUAA
rnacentral:rRNA from 1 species